rnacentral:rRNA from 1 species
AAGCUCGUAGUUGAAUUUCGGGAUCAGACUGUCGGUCGUGCCUCGGUACGCACUGGCAUUAUUGGUUCCUACCUUCUGAAGAACCGCGAUGUCAUUAAUUUGGUGUCGCGGGGAAUCAGGACUGUUACUUUGAAAAAAAUUAGAGUGUUUAAAGCAGGCUUACGCUUGAAUACAUUAGCAUGGAAUAAUGAAAUAGGACGUUUGAUUCUAUUUUGUUGGUUUCUAGGAUCGACGUAAUGAUUAAUAGGGAUAGUUGGG